GCCCGAGUGGCGGAAUGGUAGACGCAGGGGAUUCAAAAUCCUCCGCCGCAAGGCGUGCGAGUUCGAGUCUCGCCUCGGGCA
rnacentral:tRNA from 1 species